UUGGCCUACGGGGGGCAGCAGUGAGGAAUAUUGGUCAAUGGACGAGAGUCUGAACCAGCCAAGUAGCGUGAAGGAUGACUGCCCUAUGGGUUGUAAACUUCUUUUAUAUGGGAAUAAAAUGUUCCACGUGUGGGAUUUUGUAUGUACCAUAUGAAUAAGGAUCGGCUAACUCCGUGCCAGCAGCCGCGGUAAUACGGAGGAUGCGAGCGUUAUCCGGAUUUAUUGGGUUUAAAGGGUGCGUAGGCGGACAGUCAAGUCAGCGGUAAAAAUGCGGUGCUCAACGCCGUACAGCCGUUGAAACUUGC
rnacentral:rRNA from 1 species